rnacentral:rRNA from 1 species
AACGAACGCUGGCGGCGUGCCUAACACAUGCAAGUCGUGCGAGAAAGUUCCUUCGGGAGCGAGUAAAGCGGCGCACGGGUGAGUAACACGUAGGUAACCUGCCCCCCAGUCUGGAACAACUAGAGGAAACUCUAGCUAAUGCCGGAUGAGACCACGAUCCCUUCGGGGGUUGUGGCCAAAGAUGGCCUCUACUUGUAAGCUAUCGCUGAGGGAUGGGCCUGCGGGCCAUUAGCUUGUUGGUGAGGUAACGGCUCACCAAGGCUGUGAUGGCUAGCUGGUCUGAGAGGAUGACCAGCCACACUGGGACUGAGACACGGCCCAGACUCCUACGGGAGGCAGCAGUGGGGAAUAUUGCGCAAUGGGCGAAAGCCUGACGCAGCGACGCCGCGUGGGUGAUGAAGGCCU